rnacentral:rRNA from 1 species
AGGGUUCGAUUAUGGCUCAGGACGAACGCUGGCGGUGCGCCUUAUGCAUGCAAGUCGAGCGAAGCUUUUCAGUAGUUUACUACAGAAAAUGACUGAGCGGCGAACGGGUGAGUAACGCGUGAGCAACCUACCUUAGUUACUGGGAUAGCCCGAGGAAACUCGGAUUAAUACCGGAUAUUCUUAUUUAAUCACAUGAUUUUUUAAGGAAAGGUCAGCCGAACUAAGAUGGGCUCGCGUUCUAUCAGCUAGUUGGUAGGGUAAUGGCCUACCAAGGCUACGACGGAUAGCUGGUCUGAGAGGACGAUCAGCCACACUGGGACUGAGACACGGCCCAGACUCCUACGGGAGGCUGCAGCAGGGAAUAUUGCGCAAUGAGCGAAAGCUUGACGCAGCGACACCGCGUGUGGGAUGACGGAUCUAGGUUUGUAAACCACUUUCAGGAGGGAAGAAAAUGACGGUACCUCCACAAGAAGCCCCGGCCAACUACGUGCCAGCAGCCGCGGUAAUUC